CACUUGGGGUUUCGCCUGGCAUCUGGCAAACGGACACAGGUUUCUAAAAGUAGUUUUUCCUGGACGGCCACGAAACAUUUAGAUAUUAGUAGUAGAUAUUUGAAGUCAAUAUGAUUGCCACAAUUUGUUAUGUGUAUUGUGACAUGUUUGUACAUAUUUGUUUAAUAAAAUUCGGCAGCUCAGAAUAUACACAAGCAGCAAG
rnacentral:lncRNA from 1 species